rnacentral:lncRNA from 1 species
CGCAAAGUCCGGCCGGCCGGAGGCAGCCGCCAACUCCUCUCAACUUCUGCCGAUCCGCUGGGCGAAGCAACACGCUUCCUGCGCGUCUCUCCUAGGGGCUGAGCCGGGCAUCUUCUCAGAGACAAAAGAUUCUGAGAGACAUCUAAUUCCCUACCAAAAGUGUCUCAGUGUUUGUGCAAUCAAAGGAAAUCAGAAAAGAAAUGAUCCUCACCGCUCUGUGGUCCAAUCCUCUCAUUUUACAAAUAAGGACCCCAAGAUUGGAGAGAGGAGGACAUUUGCCCAUGGUCCAUCAGCAAGCAGAGGACCCAGCUCCCCAGCCUCCUGACUUUCAGUCCGACACUCUGCCCCCACCCAACACUGCUUCUGCUUGUGCAUGCCUUCUGUGACUAACCAGGGAGGAGGGGAGCUGAAACAAGCUCCCACCGAAAUAGGCUGCUGCCUGUGCGUGAUUAUGUUGCUAUGAGAACCUCAGUGGGUGUGUUUCCUCCUUUCGCUGUUGAAAUCUUUUGCUUUGCUUGGCUUCUCCCCAAGCA